AGUGAACGCUGGCGGUAGGCCUAACACAUGCAAGUCGAACGGCAGCACAGAGGAGCUUGCUCCUUGGGUGGCGAGUGGCGGACGGGUGAGGAAUACAUCGGAAUCUACUCUGUCGUGGGGGAUAACGUAGGGAAACUUACGCUAAUACCGCAUACGACCUACGGGUGAAAGCAGGGGACCUUCGGGCCUUGCGCGAUUGAAUGAGCCGAUGUCGGAUUAGCUAGUUGGCGGGGUAAAGGCCCACCAAGGCGACGAUCCGUAGCUGGUCUGAGAGGAUGAUCAGGCACACUGGAACUGAGACACGGUCCAGACUCCUACGGGAGGCAGCAGUGGGGAAUAUUGGACAAUGGGCGCAAGCCUGAUCCAGCCAUACCGCGUGGGUGAAGAAGGCCUUCGGGUUGUAAAGCCCUUUUGUUGGAAAAGAAAUCCAGCUGGCUAAUACCCGGUUGGGAUGACGGUACCCAAAGAAUAAGCACCGGCUAACUUCGUGCCAGCAGCCGCCGUAA
rnacentral:rRNA from 1 species